GAUUCCGCGAAUCAUCGAGUCUUUGAACGCAAGUUGCGCCCGAGGCUUGACCGAGGGCAUUUCUGCCAGAGCGUCACCGCGACACCCACCGAACACACCUCUAAUUAAGUGGUCAAGUGUUCGAGUGAAAGUGGCCGUCCGAAUGUGGCCGCCCGCCAGUGGGUACUUGUACUUCUGGGCGGCCGAUUGGGUUGGCUGAAAUAGAGGGGGAUUUGGCCGCCGUGUUACCACAACCAGCGAUCAGGUGAGCUAGGUGCAAACUCUGCAAACAAACGUGCGCUGGUUCUGUGGCAGCCAGUUGGUCGGACCCCACGAGCAGGCUCCUGCCGACACUCCGGCCCAAAAAGCCGGAGCUACCGGAUUUGUAGGAGGGAAUAUUCCGCCGUCACGCGCCAGACCUCUGAUCAGAAAAGACCACCCGCUGAGUUUAA
rnacentral:rRNA from 1 species